rnacentral:lncRNA from 1 species
CCUAGAUACAACAGCCGUUUAUGCUGGUUGUUCAAAACUCCUCCCUCUGAAAAAUCACAUUGCUAGUCGGUUGCUAGUAUACAAACAAAAAAAGGGAGGUUCACGGAAGAGCCUACACAAACGUUCUACACCUAUUCACAUCGGACAUAGAAAUUACCUUAAUUGUCCUAAUCAGAAUCGAAAUAAUUGAUGCAAGCUAUAAUACCUUAUUGUAGUUUUAACAUGGGUAGGCAUUAUAUUCGUGUUAUUUUAGCUUUCACUAUCAAACGGGCAAACAUAAUCAAAAAUAUAAUGCCUAUCCAUGUUAAAACUACAAUAAAGUAUAGCUUGCAUCAAUUAUUUCUUAAAUAAA